CCAACAGUCUUGCCAUGAGCCUCCCUCGCAGGCUCUUUCCUCUGCUCAUUCACUUCCUGCCCAUAUCUUCCUGCUCCGGGCUUCAGCACAGCCAGGCCAGCCUCCUACUGAAUGUCCUCUGCCCUCACAAGUCUGUCUCCUGGGUCUUUUCAGAUUUUCAGAAGAGCCGUUUGGAGCCCUUUAGAGUUAUGGUUUUGUGUAUGCGACAUGAAAUGGUAAUGCCAGCUGUCUCGGCACGUUGAAGGGAGGAGAACAAAAAUUGAGCAGGCUAUCUUGUCUCAUUUGCCUGGUCCGUCAUCACAAAGCCAACGAGUUGUUUAGUUACAAGCUCUCAGAAGGACCGUAAUAAGCGUGUUUGGUCCGUAGGCAGCAGGGUGCAGGCUGCCCGAGUCCCCCUCCUGUGUUAGAUGGAUGAUGCUGGUGGCGAGUGGACACACGCACCCUGCCUGAAUAUGAACAUCAGAUUUGUCAGCGUGUGACAGGCUGACAGCCCAGCUCCCAGCUGCUUGUCCACUGUGGUUAUAUCAGCACCUUGUCUGAGCCUUCAGCGAAGAGGCAGUCUGCUCCCUCCAUUCAUGGGAGGCAGGUUGCACUUAAAAAAAAAAAAGGAAGAAAAACCUAGUUCUGGCUUCAGGCUGCGUGUGCCACAACACAUUGAAAGGAGAUGAUUUAAACCUCUCUGUGCUCUUCCAGCCACACAUGGUCGGCCCUAGAAGUCCUGCCCUCCAGGUCUAAAAUCUGUUGAUUCAAAUGAGCAUGCCUUCUUGAAAGUCUAAAUCCACCAUAUUACCUCCCAAGAGACUAUGGUUGGGUACCCGCUGUAUGUGCAAAAGCUCCUUCUCCCAGAUGCAUAUGAACAUUGACCUCGGUCUGGCACGGGCUUUGUACUUCACACUCCAGGGUCUAUGAAAACACAGCGGAGGCCAGGGGAGCCACCAAGGGUCAGAACCAAGGCAGGCACGGUCGGGAUCCCCACACGAGCUGCAGAUGCCCAGUAACAAGUUUUCCUUGACUGCUGACGACUGAAUGCUGUUUUUCCUGUUCACAUUAUUUUCAAUUGGAUGCACUCUUUAGAGGUGAUAAUUUACACACCUUUUCAUCACUGUCUCAUUAGAGCUGGGCAGCCUGUUGUCAUGGGCCACAGAGGGAAACUUCUCUUCCUGCUUCUCCAUAAAAUGAAGACACAUCUUAACCGUGAUGGUGUCUGUCUGAAACUCAAUGAAAUGAGGACCACACUCCUUUGCUACUUAGCAAUCUGGACAUGUCCCACAGUGUGGAUACAUGGCAGUAACAGUUCAUGUACAUUAAAUACCCAUGUGCUCCCCUACUGUGGGGAGAGUCUCUGUGACUCAGUGAGCCCGAGUGAUGGAGCAGACCUCACCCGUGCUUCUCUUUGGCUAUGGGAGGUGAGGGAGUCUCCUUCCUCUCUUCACCAUACUGUGCUGGGACCCAGCAGGUAUCUCUAUAAGGUCAACUGACAAGAGGGGAUGGAUGCCUUUGAGGUGUCUCUCUUAAGCAAGGGAUCUUUACAUAGCUGAUACUCUAAAUAGUGUCCCUGGGGUGCUGCCUACCCUCACUCCUCUGCCUCCUGGUUCUACGUAUCAGCAGGCUCCCUCUACCUCACAGGUCACUGUCCUGUGUGCUGACUGGCCUGGACAGGGUGACGAGCUGUUUCAUGAGGGGGAUAUAAAGAGCAGCAUGGACUUUCUAGUUUCUGAGUGGAUGAUGUCUGGAGAGGUGUAAAAAAAAAAAUGUGUCAUUCUUCAAGAUGGUUCUUCACUCAAGUCUCUGACUUCCCAAGAAGCCCUUAGGACACUGGUCCCCAGAGCAAGAUCCACCCCAAGAAUUGUGUGAAUGCAAUGCUCAGGGUACUCCUGUGUUGUCAGGACCAUCUUGUCUGUGAAAAUGCCUUAUGGCACCUCCCUGAAUAGAAGAAGAAGUGAAGAGAAAGACUAUUUGUUUGAUGUAGUCAGAUUCUCUGGAAUUUAAUCCUAUAUCCUCUUCAUGGCUGAGCUAGCCAUUCAAAAUUAAAAUGAACCUUUCAUCCAUGUGUAUCAUAAAUGGGUAUUUAUCGGGAUUAUAUGAUUUUGCAAUCCAUCUGAAUAUGUAACCAGGAUUUGUUUUCUUUCCGUUUCACUCUGUAAUUACCAUGCAACAAUAACGAAAGUGACAAGUUUGAAGACCAGAUAAAAUGCUGUAAAUUGGCCAGUAAUGGUGAUAUUUCCUCAUCUUCUGGAAAAUCCAUUUAUUCUCUCUCAACAAAUCAAGGCAUUGUCAGCCCAUACUCAUCUUGUGGCCAGAGGGGCUCCACCAAUUUCUGGAUGUGAGCAAGUCCAGGAAUGCAGAUGAGGCAGACUAACGAAGGCUUUCAGCGCAGGCAGCUGGGCUUUGGUUGCCUCAAUUUCUAAAUCAUCCGUAAUGGGGCCAGGACCUCCCAAGCACUAAAAAGAGCGAGCUGACAUGCUGGACAAACUGUUAAUUUUUUCCUGAAGAAGCUGCUAUAUUGCACAUCUGUCACUGCGGUGCGGACAAUUACUCACUGAGUCGGGGAGGGAAAACCUGCUGCUUGUUUCUAACUGGGUUGUUAAGGGGCCUCAUGGAGAAACAAUGGCCCCAGAGUCGGAACGCACUGGCUUCUAGUGUGCUUGGCAAUGCAUCUCUCAGUCUAGGGACUGUCCUGUGAUCAUGUGGCAUAGGAUGUGCUUUCAAAGGAAGGACGGCACUGGAUCCUAUUGGUGUAGGAUCCAGUGUGUCAGCCAUCACGGUAAGGGCGGUGGCCAAGAGCUGCACACGCUAUGGCGGAGUGCUGUGGCUUCCCGUUUUAGACUUCCUGCCUUUAACAUGGGCUCCCAAGUGCCUCAACACUUUGGAAUAACACGCCUUCCCGUGCACCACAGGCCAUCCACAGUGAUUCUGUAAGGAACUGGGUGACCAGUGUGCAAUGUCAGAAGCCCGGCUGGCUGCUCAGUCAGAAACUGCUUCUCCUUUCCCCUCUUUUCUGGGUUCAUUUGUCCAUCCCAACUCUGUGGUUCUGGCUUCCGAGUAAGUUCACAAGAAUUAGAACGGUUCAUUUCUAAAAAGCCUGUCUUCUGUUACCUUUGUUUUUCACUCAAAAUUUACUAAAGACUGAUGGUUGAAGAAGAAAUUAACACUUCUUGAAUUUUUUUUUAAAUUUUUUUUUUUUAAUUGAGACAGAGUUUCCUGUAGCUGAAGCUGGCUUUAAAUUCACUCUGUAGUUGAGGCUGGCCUAGAACUCCUGAUUUUCCUGCCUAGAUUUCCCAUGUGCUAAGAAUUUAGCCGUGUAUCACAUGUGGCCCUUAGAAAUUUAGUAGUAACAUAAACAGACUGAAGAUAACUGGGCUGUUUCUCUUUGGGAUGAAGUCCUAAUAACCUAACCUAAUAACCUAAUAACCUAGUAAGUCCUGCUCACCACUAAAGUGUGUGACUCAUUUGGAAAGGCCAAACCGAGGUGGGGGUGCCAGCAACUACAGAAACACAAGACGCAUUUCUGUUGCUGGCCCGCCUCAGUCCCCUAACUUGAAGGAGUAGAUGGCUGAUAACAGUGACUUUGCAGGGGUGAGGGCUGAGAAUCCGAGGGUGACUUAGACCAUGUGAUGACACUAAUGUAUGGAGAGGACUCUCGGUGGCAACAGUGGGUCACGGUCUUGGCAGCUAAUGGCAGUGACCUGACAGACCCAAGUCUCCCUGAGGUGUCAGACGUGUGGAGUCCUUGCAGCAGCUCGGCCUUCAUGGCCCACCUGUUGGCUGAGUUUGUAUUACGACAAGCCUGCUAGCCUGUGAGUAUUCAGUACCUGCUGGGCUGAAGAAAAAGCCCAAAACCUACUUCCUGUAACUAACAACUCUACUUGCUUUUGCCACAAGAACUGAAAUGUCUUUUCGAGCAAAGUAAACUCAAUAGUCUGAUGGAUAUUACAAAAUAUCCCAAGUGCCUGAGUAGGUUAGGAGAGGGGAAGAGCCUUGCUGCACUGGUCACAAGAUACUGUGGGAGAGAGAAUGGAAGGCUGGCCUAUUCCAAUUUCAGAGAAAACAAAAACAGGCAAGUGUGGUCGAACUGGUCACAAUCAGUUAUGAAUAAAUUUGUGAGUCAGAUACAUUGCCAAAUUUUUCUUUAAUUUUUUUUUUUUGAGACACUGGGAAUUCCCAGAGCUUACCAACAAUUAACUCUACUGUUAAAUGUUAACUGUAAGUCAUUACAGUGGGUCAAACACAGAGCCCCAUGCACUCCACCACCAAAGAAAACACCCAGAAAAUCUUUAAAUAUUUCCAUGACUCUGAAGGUAGGAGAGAAGGUGUGGAGGCCUGGCCUAGGGGAUAGUGCUUGUCUGGAAAAGGCCUUAGAUUCAAUCCCAACCACCGCCAAACAGGACAGACAGGAAGAGAACUAACAGAAGGUUAAGACAGAAACACCAACAGCUGGAUUGGAAAUACGGCUCUUGAGAUGCUCUACACGUUCACGUCUUUGCUGAACCAAUACAUUUUCUACAAAAAAACAAAAAACAAAAAAACCAUCAAAGCACUCCUUGCUAACAACCUCACUUUACAGUACCAAUGUAGAAUAUUUCUCUUUCUGAAACACAAAAUACA
rnacentral:sRNA from 1 species